GCGCGCCAGCGUUUUAAUUGCUGUGCGAAUUAUACGUCGGGAUGACAGCUGCAUGUGAAUAAAGCCUUAACAGUGCAGAUACGUGGUAAUUGGAACGGUAGUUAGCGGUCAAUGCAGGCUAUAGAACUUCUGUAACACCAGAAUCUUCUGACCAGACUCUGGGCUGAUAUUGGGAGAUACAACGCAAACCGAGCCAAGUGGGACUUCUCCAAACAUCGCUUGUGUGGCUGCGGUGCCAUCCAGUCUAUAUAUGGCUCACCAGAUAUUAUAUCUUAAUGCCCCACCAGAUAAAUGUCCUAACUUUUCUGCGCUAAAUAAGACCCAAACGAGGCGAAGAGAGCUGUAACGUGGACAACUAUAAUUAUAAUAGCA